rnacentral:rRNA from 1 species
CAGUAGCCACGGGAAUACGAAGGGGGCUAGCGUUGUUCGGAUUUACUGGGCGUAAAGCGCACGUAGGCGGAUCGAUCAGUCAGGGGUGAGAUCCCAGAGCUCAACUCUGGAACUGCCUUUGAUACUGUCGAUCUGGAGUAUGGAAGAGGUGAGUGGAAUUCCGAGUGUAGAGGUAAAAUUCGUAGAUAUUCGGAGGAACACCAGUGGCGAAGGCGGCUCACUGGUCCAUUACUGACGCUGAGGUGCGAAAGCGUGGGGAGCAAACAGGAUUAGAUACCCCCGUAGUCCCUGUCUCUUAUAC